AAUGGCCACAUCCUGGCAUCUUCCAAUCAUUUCAUAGGUUUUAAUUCUUCCAUAUCAUGAUUCCUUUAAAACAAACAGAAUUUAUGCCUGGUUGUUGUACACAGUUGCAACAAUUUCGGAGUAUAGUUUUGCCUUCUCCUGCUGGUUUCCUCCACCCACCUUCCCACACCCACCUACGGUGGCCACGGAUAACCAAGGGCAGUACAGUGACGAUUCUCUAGCCCUUUUUCCCAGGCAGAUAUUUUGCAAGCGAUAACUGACUGACAGGACACAGAAGCUCUGGGGAUGCCAGGCUGGCUCAGUCGGUAGAAUAUGAGACCCUUGGUCUCGGGGUUGGGAGUUUGAGCCCCAUGUUGGGUGUGGAGAUGACUUAAAAAUAAAAUCUUAAAAAGAAAGAAAGAAAAGAAACAGAAUAUACUUGCUGAAGCAGGCAGAGGUGGGUGCUUAGAGCCCACUGAUCACUUCUCUGAGGAUCUGUCUGAAGGAUGUUCAGGACACAAGGAGCAAAGGUCAUUUGGAAACCACUGGCUGUAAGGGGUCAAGUUCCAAACUAAGGGAUCCAGAAGACUCGCUCCCUUACUUCCUCCAGACGUCUGCUCAGAUGCCACCAGAUCAGAAAGGCCUUCCCUCACUAUUUUAUGGGAACAGUUCUGGCCAACCCCACCACGCAUUGUCCCCCUGACACCGCUUCCAUUUCCUGUGUAGCACUGAUCGCCAGCUGACUUCGUAGCUUCGGACAGCCAGACUGCCGCAGGUUUUGUGAGAAAUGGGAUGAGGCGGGAGAGAAGUUAGUGAAUUUUCGAGGGCACAGAUGAUACACAUGUGUGACGAGCAGGUGGACCUCUGGCCAGCAGGUACUGCUGGAAAUGUAGCAUUACCCUGGAUGGAGAGGAAAAACAUGGGU